rnacentral:lncRNA from 1 species
ACUGAUAAAAAGCUCAUUAAUGGGUAGUUCUGAUUAGCCUAAGGUAAUUAAGGACUGUCCGAGUCAGAUUUUAUUUUCGUCAUGCUAGAGUCUUUUGAUCCUUUACUGCACUUGUGUCUUAUUCUUAAUGCUUGUUAAAUGUUUAAGUUACAGAGUGUGCAUAUUAGUAUUAUCAAUCGACUGUGAAAACUUAAUUGAGCUAUGAUUAGUUAGGACGGUUGGUCUACACACACAAACAUAGAAUGGAUCGAAUACAGUCUUAUGCUUGAAAUAGAAAGAACCCUUACUCAUGUUUGUGUUUGCCUUGUUCUCUGGGAGUUGCUAUGAUUGAGAUUUGUAGCAAUGAUGCUAGUAUAUAGUUUUAUAUUCCUUUCGCGUGUUAAUUUACUACUGUUAUUUUUUAUGUUAGACAGUUUUCUCGAGGACAAGUAAAGACUUAAGUCUGGAGGUAUUUGAUGAGUGGGAUUUAUACCCGCGAAUCAGAUACUUUAUGACUUAAAUAAUUGCAUGAAUUCAUAGAUUUUAUAUAGUUUUAAAUGAUUAUAGUGUUAUUGCGCUUAAUCGAUGGAUUGCAGGGCUUUACAGGACUUUUCUAGCUUUAAGGGGGCAAAUUCGACAUUUCAAAUACACUGGCGCCGCAGCGCCAAUUCCUAUUGUUAUUCUCGCGCCGCGGCACCGCCCCCUAGUCCAACCUGACGUCAGCAUGGCGCUACAGCGCCACUGAUGCCUCUUUGACUCGCGUUGCAGCGCGAGCUCUGUGUCUUUAAUACUAAUUUGGCGCUGCAACGCCAACCACAUGUUAUUUGUCCGCGCCGCGGCGCCACCUCCGGUGCCCAGGCAGAGAAGGCCUUGGCUUGACCUAGCAAAGGACAGACACGGAUAUAUAAGGAAAGAAAGCCUCUGCAGAAAGGGAUCUCUCAUAUAUAUGAGAUCAGAUAACACAUAUCAGAGGAUAAUAUUAGCAUAUCUUAGAUAGUUUUAGUUUUUCUUCUUCUGUAUUUUCUCUUUCUAGCUCAUAGUUAAUAUCUGUAAAUAUAGAUUAGGGAGAAGUUUGGGAUUUUCUUGGAGCAACACGAGCAGUGAGCUACACAGUUUAUUCUCAUCCAUUUAUUCCCUCUGAUUUUAUAAUUCAUAAAUGUUGUCUUUAUUGCUACUUAUAUUUUGUUCAAUAGCUAUGAACUGAGUAUUUGCUCUAAGGUUAUAAUGGAAC